CAAACGGGUGAGUAACGCGUAUGUAACCUACCCUGUACAGGGGGAUAACCCGGAGAAAUUCGGACUAAUAUCCCAUAACAAUAUUCAGAGGCAUCUUUGGAUAUUUAAAGUUCCGGCGGUACGGGAUGGGCGUGCGUAACAUUAGCUAGUUGGUAAGGUAACGGCCUACCAAGGCUUUGAUGUUUAGGGGUCCUGAGAGGGUGGUCCCCCACACUGGUACUGAGACACGGACCAGACUCCUACGGGAGGCAGCAGUGAGGAAUAUUGGUCAAUGGGCGCAAGCCUGAACCAGCCAUCCCGCGUGCAGGAAGACGGCCCUAUGGGUUGUAAACUGCUUUUCCAGGGAGAGAAACUUGCGCACGUGUUGCGCAAUUGGCGGUACCCUGGGAAUAAGCAUCGGCUAACUCCGUGCCAGCAGCCGCGGUAAUACGGAGGAUGCGAGCGUUAUCCGGAUUCACUGGGUUUAAAGGGUGCGUAGGCGGACUAUUAAGUCAGUGGUGAAGUCCUGCAGCUUAACUGCAGAACUGCCAUUGAUACUGAUAGCCUUGAGUUUGGUUAAGGUAGGCGGAAUGUGUAAUGUAGCGGUGAAUGCUUAGAUAUUACACAGAACACCAAUUGCGUAGGCAGCUUACUGAGCCGACACUGACGCUGAGGCACGAAAGCGUGGGGAUCGAACAGGAUUAGAUACCCUGGUAGUCCACGCCGUAAACUAUGAUUACUCGCUGUUGGCGAUACACUGUCAGCGGCUAAGCAAAAGCAAUAAGUAAUCCACCUGGGGAGUACGGCCGCAAGGUUGAAACUCAAAGGAAUUGACGGGGGCCCGCACAAGCGGAGGAACAUGUGGUUUAAUUCGAUGAUACGCGAGGAACCUUACCUGGGCUUAAAUGUAAGAGUG
rnacentral:rRNA from 1 species